CCCAGCUCCCCCACUGCCGACAUCACCUACUCCACCUACGUCAUCCUCUGGGUCCGGCGCACUGCGUCUCUCCCCCCCGAGGGAGUACGAUGGAGCGGCAGCUGGGUGCCAGGGAUUUUUGCUCCAGCUAGAGCUCUACCUGGCUACCGUGCGUCCGGCUCCCUCGGGUGAGGAGAGUGUGAGCCUCCUCGUCUCCUGUUUAACGGGAAGGGCCCUGGACUGGGCUAACGCGGUCUGGAACAGUCCAGACUCGGCUCGGGACAACUACCUGGAGUUCACCCGCCGUUUCCGAGCUGUGUUCGAUCAUCCACCAGAGGGUAAAGCGGCGGGUGAGCGACUGUUCCACCUCAGACAGGAGACGAGGAGCGCACAGGACGAUCAUCCACCAGAGGGUAAAGCGGCGGGUGAGCGACUGUUCCACCUCAGACAGGAGACGAGGAGCGCACAGGACUUCGCGUUGGAGUUUAGGACCCUAGCUGCUGGUGCUGGGUGGAAUGACAGGGCCCUGAUGGACCAUUACCGGUGUAGUCUCCGGGAGGACGUCCGCCGGGAGCUAGCUUGCAGGGACACAACUCUCUCCCUGGAUGAACUAAUAGACAUGUCUAUUCGAUUGGACAACCUGCUAGCUGCCCGCGGGCGUUCAGAAAGGGUCCUGUUAAUUCCACCUUCCAGCUCUCCCACUCCCACUCCGAUGGAGUUGGGAGGAGCUGCAUCUAGGGGAAUCAGAGGGGGCUCCUCCUGCUCCUAUUGUGGACGGAGAGGACACACUUCGGACCGGUGUUGGAGGAGUCCCUCUGGGAGUCGAGAGGGUCGGCGGAACACUCCUCGGCCACCCCAGGUGAGUAAGCCCCAAACUCACCCUUAGAGCUCCCUGUUGGUCACAUGUUUUUGUAAAAAAAAAAUCCUGCGUUUUCCCCCUCUCUUCAGCAUAAGGCGCUAGUCGAUUCAGGCGCAGCUGGGAGUUUUAUGGAUCGUGGACUCACCCGUAAAUUGGGUAUUCCGUUAGUACAGAUAGACCCACCUGUCCCCGUGCACUCCUUAGAUAGCCGACCGUUAGGG
rnacentral:lncRNA from 1 species